UGAGCUGGCUGGGCGGCCGCGGCAGAUGUCGAGGAACGUCCGGGCACCACAGGGCAGGACGGUGGGUAACACCCACCCGGGGUGACCCGCGGGAUAGUGCAACAGAAAGUAGACCGCCGCCAAUGUGCGGUAAGGGUGAAACGGUGGUGUAAGAGACCACCAGCACUGCCGGUGACGGUGGUGGCUUGGUAAACCCCGUCCGGUGCAAGACCAGACAGCAGGCGUAGGCGGCCCGUUUAGCCUGCGGGUAGGUUGCUAGAGCUGCGCAGUAAUGCGCCGCCAAGAGAGAUGGUCGCCGCCACUUUUCGUGGAACAGAACCCGGCGUAUAGGUCAGCUCAUCCA
rnacentral:RNase_P_RNA from 1 species